rnacentral:rRNA from 11 species
GGUGGUGCAUGGCUGUAGUCAGCUCGUGCCCUAAGGUGUUGGGUUAAGUCCAGCAACGAGCGCAACCAUCGUGUUUUGUUGCCAUCAUUGAGUUUGAAACCCUGAAGAGACUGCCGGUGAUAAGCCGGAGGAAGGUGAGGAUGACGUCUAGUCAACAUGCCCC